GGACUACGGACUUCACUCCAACCCAUGUGACGUUACCAAACUGUUGCCUCGGCGGGAUCUCUGCCCCGGGUGCGUCGCAGCCCCGGACCAAGGCGCCCGCCGGAGGACCAACCAAAACUCUUUUUGUAUACCCCCUCGCGGGUUUUUUAUAAUCUGAGCCUUCUCGGCGCCUCUCGUAGGCGUUUCGAAAAUGAAUCAAAACUUUCAACAACGGAUCUCUUGGUUCUGGCAUCGAUGAAGAACGCAGCGAAAUGCGAUAAGUAAUGUGAAUUGCAGAAUUCAGUGAAUCAUCGAAUCUUUGAACGCACAUUGCGCCCGCCAGUAUUCUGGCGGGCAUGCCUGUCCGAGCGUCAUUUCAACCCUCGAACCCCUCCGGGGGGUCGGCGUUGGGGAUCGGCCCUGCCUCUUGGCGGUGGCCGUCUCCGAAAUACAGUGGCGGUCUCGCCGCAGCCUCUCCUGCGCAGUAGUUUGCACACUCGCAUCGGGAGCGCGGCGCGUCCACAGCCGUUAAACACCCAACUUCUGAAAUGUUGACCUCGGAUCAGGUAGGAAUACCCGCUGAACUUAAGCAUAUCAAUAAGCGGAGGAACAU
rnacentral:rRNA from 1 species